rnacentral:rRNA from 1 species
AUUGAACGCUGGCGGCAGGCCUAACACAUGCAAGUCGAACGGUAACAGGAAGCAGCUUGCUGCUUCGCUGACGAGUGGCGGACGGGUGAGUAAUGUCUGGGAAACUGCCCGAUGGAGAGGGAUAACUACUGGAAACGGUAGCUAAUACCGCAUAACGUCGCAAGACCAAAGAGGGGGACCUUCGGGCCUCUUGCCAUCGGAUGUGCCCAGAUGGGAUUAGCUUGUUGGUGAGGUAACGGCUCACCAAGGCGACGAUCCCUAGCUGGUCUGAGAGGAUGACCAGCCACACUGGAACUGAGACACGGUCCAGACUCCUACGGGAGGCAGCAGUGGGGAAUAUUGCACAAUGGGCGCAAGCCUGAUGCAGCCAUGCCGCGUGUAUGAAGAAGGCCUUCGGGUUGUAAAGUACUUUCAGCGGGGAGGAAGGUGUUGUGGUUAAUAACCGCAGCAAUUGACGUUACCCGCAGAAGAAGCACCGGCUAACUCCGUGCCAGCAGCCGCCGUAA